AGGACAGGACCAGCUGAGGAAAGGGGCAGUCCCUAAAAGGAGGUUUAUUCCUCCUACUUUCAGAGGAGUGGCUGGUAGACUGAUGGCUCUUUUAUUAGUGAAGCCUGUACAUCUCAUGGUCCAGACUGACAAAGAAAUGAUGAGAUAAAGAUGAAUUCAGAUAAGCCUGUGAGCUCUGCGUCACCCCCUGACAGUUUCCUCACCACAGUCAGAAUGGCACUUGUGACAGACACUGGAGUUUCUCUUCAAUCUAAUUAAGGUUCCAUUAACUUAACUAGUUUAACCAUAUUUGCUUUCUAUUAUGGCCAACCUCCAGGCCAGAAUUUCAAUAAUUAUCAUAUGUUGUUGAUUUUUUUUCCACGAACACUUUCCGGUUGCCACUGUCCUUCAGCAAUUGGGCAAGCCUUCUGUCUAUGUGACAAAAAUAAAAAAAAAGGAUACAAUCAAACUGCAUUCAUUGAUUGGCAGAUGCAUUCUAGCUGUUAAAUGAGCUGCUGGGGUCUUCCAGAUAAGCCCCUGCAUUCUGGAGCUUGCCCUGCAGUGGGUGACGUGGACAUGUUCAGCAGAGCUGUGUAAUGACUAUGGCCAUGUGCCGGUAGACGCCAAGUGCUGUGUUAUCACACAUGAGGAAAAACUGGGCAUUCAUAGAACCAUUACUGGAAGAGGAAAGGGCUAGAGUGAAUCCAAAAUUUCAACUAGAGAUUGGCCAUGGGAAGAGAGAGGAAGAAGAUAUUGCAGGAAGAAAGGUAGUGACUUGAACACAUUUGGAAAAGUUCAUUUAUUCAACAAGAUCCACCAGUGCAGGAAGAAGAGAGAGAGAGAGAUGAUGUCAGACCAUGAAUGUCCCAAAUAGAAAAAUUAAAAAGGGAAACUUUGUUAUCAGAUAGAUUGACUUUAAAAAACAUAACAUUUAGGCCCAAUUAUGGAGGAUAGAUCAGUGAGGGCAAGAUGAGACACCCAGAUAAUAACUGGGAGGCUGUUACAAUGAUCCAGUUGAAAAACAAGGAGGAUAAGCUAAUUUUGGGAUGAUGGGAUGAAGAAAAUAGAAAAAAAAAGGAGUUACAAUAGACAGGAUUCAAUCAAGGAGGAUGAAGAAGAUUUAAAUGCUAAGGAUGACAUCCAAAGUACAGACUGACCCAAAUGUCUGGAUGGUGGCUCCGCUGGGCAAGCUAAAGAAAUGGUGAAGUCAACUCAGGACACGCUGACUUUGAGAGAUUCAAGGGACAAUUCAUGCAAACCGUGGGUUGGCAGAUGCACAUCUAACCUGGGGAUAAGGAUGUAAAAUACGAUAAAGCUUUCAAUUCCUAACAAUGAAUGAAAUU